ACCCGACCAAUCUGACCCAAGGCCAGGGGGAUAUCUGCUGACAGAUAUGGAUAGCUGUUUAUCCUGUUUGACUGUUAGUCGAGCCCGUUCUUUUCAUCCAUCUACAUCAGAUCUAAACAGGAGCAGUUCUUGCCAUUGUUCUGAAUCUACACAGAAACCUGCUCACUCAGACAUCAGGCAUAACCAAUGAGACAGACAGGAUAUGGGCCAGGCAGAACACUGCCUCAGCUGCUCCAAGUUGAGAUCUCUUUGCCCCCACAACUCCAGAAGGUGUCUCCAACACGCUUUGUCUCUCUAAGGUCAUAUCUCCGCCAUCAAGGAAGGUGUGAUCAUCUCCUCUCCAGCAUCUGAUGCCGUCCCCCCCAUUUCAUGCUCCAGUUUGUUUUCUAAAUCUGGCUCUGACACAAGGAGCCACUUCCUUCUUGUGAUGAUGGAUCCCUGAUGAUGAUUAUAUUUUAAAAAGCAAUUCAAGGUGGUGGUACUUGUAAUUUGUACAAUGACUGCAGUUGCAUCUCUGAAGCCCUUGCCCCGAUUU